CCUACGGGAUGCAGCAGUAGGGAAUCUUCCGCAAUGGACGAAAGUCUGACGGAGCAACGCCGCGUGAGUGAUGAAGGCUUUCGGGUCGUAAAACUCUGUUGUUAGGGAAGAACAAGUGCUAGUUGAAUAAGCUGGCACCUUGACGGUACCUAAUCAGGAAGCCACGGCUAACUACGUGCCAGCAGCCGCGGUUAUACGUGGGUGGCAAGCGUUAUCCGGAAUUAUUGGGCGUAAAGCGCGCGCAGGUGGUUUCUUAAGUCUGAUGUGAAAGCCCACGGCUCAACCGUGGAGGGUCAUUGGAAACUGGGAGACUUGAGUGCAGAAGAGGAAAGUGGAAUUCCAUGUGUAGCGGUGAAAUGCGUAGAGAUAUGGAGGAACACCAGUGGCGAAGGCGACUUUCUGGUCUGUAACUGACUCUGAGGCGCGAAAGCGUGGGGAGCAAACAGGAUUAGAUACCCCAGUAGUC
rnacentral:rRNA from 1 species